GAGUUUGAUCCUGGCUCAGGAUGAACGCUAGCGGCAGGCCUAACACAUGCAAGUCGAGGGGUAACAGGGAGCUUGCUCCGCUGACGACCGGCGCACGGGUGCGUAACGCGUAUACAAUCUACCUUUUGCUACGGGAUAGCCCAGAGAAAUUUGGAUUAAUACCGCAUAGUAUAUUGAGAUCGCAUGGUUUUAAUAUUAAAGGUUACGGCAGAAGAUGAGUAUGCGUUCUAUUAGCUAGAUGGUGUGGUAACGGCAUACCAUGGCAACGAUAGAUAGGGGCCCUGAGAGGGGGAUCCCCCACACUGGUACUGAGACACGGACCAGACUCCUACGGGAGGCAGCAGUGAGGAAUAUUGGACAAUGGGCGAGAGCCUGAUCCAGCCAUGCCGCGUGCAGGAAGACGGCCCUAUGGGUUGUAAACUGCUUUUAUACAGGAAGAAACACCUCUACGAGUAGAGG
rnacentral:rRNA from 1 species